UAGCUUUUAACCACACUGAAGGAAAAGGCAUGGUCAAAACUGUCGGAAUGUUUAGAAAUUUCCCGUUAUGAAUUAUGUUGGCAUUAUGGAAACAUCAAAAAGCUCGAUUGCAUCAAGUAGAAGAUGAUGAGGAUAAGAAGAAGAAGAAAAAAAAGCUGGAAGGCAAAUAAAAGAGGGGCAAAAGUAAACUCAUUAUCUGUUAAGGAAAUGGUUGGCGAUCCAGGAUAAAGUGACUUCUUAGCCAAUAUAACGAGGAAGAAAAAUAUUUACGUCACUAUAUAACGUUAGAUAUAUUUUACUUUGUUGUUGUGGAUUUAUCUGUGCAUAUCAAACAUUUUAUGUAAAAUUCGAUAUUUUGUACUUGCAGAUAUUUUCAAAAUGUUAUUUACUAUGUUUGGGGUUUGAAUUGUGGUAUUUGUAAUAAUAUUUAAAAAUUGUAUAGGAAAUGCCUGGAACAGUGCGGAAUAGAUAAGCUAAUAAAUAUGAGUGGUGUGUGUUAAA